rnacentral:rRNA from 1 species
AAUCAACGCUGGCGGCGUGCCUAACACAUGCAAGUCGAACGCGAGAGGGGCUUCGGCCCCGAUUGAGUGGCGAACGGGUGAGUAACGCGUGGGUGACCUACCUUCGAGUGGGGGAUAACGUCCCGAAAGGGACGCUAAUACCGCAUAACAUCCUGCUUUUGAAUGGGUGGAGAUCAAAGCCGGGGAUCGCAAGACCUGGCGCUUGAUGAGGGGCCCGCGUCUGAUUAGCUAGNGGUGAGGUAACGGCCCACCAAGGCAACGAUCAGUAUCCGGCCUGAGAGGGCGGACGGACACACUGGGACUGAGACACGGCCCAGACUCCUACGGGAGGCAGCAGUGGGGAAUUGUUCGCAAUGGGCGCAAGCCUGACGACGCAACGCCGCGUGGAGGAUGAAGGUCUUCGG